rnacentral:rRNA from 1 species
AAUCAACGCUGGCGGCGUGCCCAACACAUGCAAGUCGAGCGAGAGGGGGUAGCAAUACCCUAGUAAAGCGGCGCACGGGUGAGUAACACGUGGGUAAUCUGCCUCGAAGUGGGGAAUAACACCGGGAAACCGGUGCUAAUACCGCAUAAUCUGGCGAAGUCUGCGGAUUUUGUCAGCAAAGGAGCAAUUCGCUUUGAGAGGAGCCCGCGGCUGAUUAGCUAGUUGGUGAGGUAAUGGCUCACCAAGGCUACGAUCAGUAGCCGGUCUGAGAGGACGGUCGGCCACACUGGAACUGAGACACGGUCCAGACUCCUACGGGAGGCAGCAGUGGGGAAUUUUUGGCAAUGGGGGCAACCCUGACCAAGCAACGCCGCGUGGGUGAUGAAGUCUCUUGGGACGUAAAACCCUUUCGACGGGGACGAAACCGCAAGGUUGACGGUACCCGUAGAAGAAGCCCCGGCUAACUUCGUGCCAGCCGCCGCCGUAAAAC